rnacentral:rRNA from 1 species
AGAGUUUGAUUCUGGCUCAGGACGAACGCUGGCGGCGUGCUUAACACAUGCAAGUCGAACGGAGUGCUCAUGACAGAGGUUUCGGCCAAUGGAUUGAGUUACUUAGUGGCGGACUGGUGAGUAACGCGUGAGGAACCUGCCUUUCAGAGGGGGACAACAGUUGGAAACGACUGCUAAUACCGCAUGACACAUCGAAGGGGCAUCCCUUUGAUGUCAAAGAUUUUAUCGCUGAAAGAUGGCCUCGCGUCUGAUUAGCUAGUUGGUGAGGUAACGGCCCACCAAGGCGACGAUCAGUAGCCGGACUGAGAGGUUGACCGGCCACAUUGGGACUGAGAUACGGCCCAG